rnacentral:misc_RNA from 1 species
GAACGCACAUUGCGCCCCUUGGUAUUCCAUGGGGCAUGCCUGUUCGAGCGUCAUUUGUACCCUCAAGCUCUACUUGGUGUUGGGUGUUUGUCCUCUCCCUGGUGUUAGGACUCGCCUUAAAGCAAUUGGCAGCCAGUGUUUUGGUAUUGAAGCGCAGCACAUUUUGCGAUUCUAGCCCAUGAAUACUAGCGACCAUUAAGCCCAUUUUUAACUUUUGACCUCGGAUCAGGUAGGGAUACCCGCUGAACUUAAG